GCAGGGGAUCGCAAGACCUUGCGCUGAUUGAGCGGCCGAUAUCAGAUUAGCUAGUUGGUGAGGUAAAAGCUCACCAAGGCGACGAUCUGUAGCGGGUCCGGGAGGAUGAUCCGCCACACUGGAACUGAGACACGGUCCAGACUCCUACGGGAGGCAGCAGUGGGGAAUUUUGGACAAUGGGGGCAACCCUGAUCCAGCCAUGCCGCGUGAGUGAAGAAGGCCUUCGGGUUGUAAAGCUCUUUCAGCCGGGAAGAAAAUGCAUGGGUUAAUACCCUGUGCAGAUGACGGUACCGGAAUAAGAAGCACCGGCUAACUACGUGCCAGCAGCCGCGGUAAUACGUAGGGUGCGAGCGUUAAUCGGAAUUACUGGGCGUAAAGCGUGCGCAGGCGGUUUUGUAAGACAGGCGUGAAAUCCCCGGGCUUAACCUGGGAACUGCGUUUGUGACUGCAAGGCUAGAGUACGGCAGAGGGGGGUGGAAUUCCACGUGUAGCAGUGAAAUGCGUAGAGAUGUGGAGGAACACCAAUGGCGAAGGCAGCCUCCUGGGUCGAUACUGACGCUCAUGCACGAAAGCGUGGGUAGCAGACAGGAUUAGAUACCCUGGUAGUCCACGCCCUAAACGAUGUCAACUAGGUGUUGGGAGGGUAAAACCUUUUAGUACCGUAGCUAACGCGAGAAGUUGACCGCCUGGGGAGUACGGCCGCAAGGUUAAAACUCAAAGGAAUUGACGGGGACCCGCACAAGCGGUGGAUGAUGUGGAUUAAUUCGAUGCAACGCGAAAAACCUUACCUACCCUUGACAUGUCAGGAACUUUCCAGAGAUGGAUUGGUGCCCGAAAGGGAACCUGAACACAGGUGCUGCAUGGCUGUCGUCAGCUCGUGUCGUGAGAUGUUGGGUUAAGUCCCGCAACGAGCGCAACCCUUGUCGUUAAUUGCCAUCAUUCAGUUGGGCACUUUAACGAGACUGCCGGUGACAAACCGGAGGAAGGUGGGGAUGACGUCAAGUCCUCAUGGCCCUUAUGGGUAGGGCUUCACACGUCAUACAAUGGUCGGUACAAAGGGUCGCCAACCCGCGAGGGGGAGCCAAUCCCAUAAAGCCGAUCGUAGUCCGGAUUGUAGGCUGCAACUCGCCUGCAUGAAGUCGGAAUCGCUAGUAAUCGUGGAUCAGCAUGUCACGGUGAAUACGUUCCCGGGUCUUGUACACACCGCCCGUCACACCAUGGGAGCGGGUUCCGCCAGAAGUAGGUAGCCUAACCGCAAGGGGGGCGCUUACCACGGCGGGGUUCGCGACUGGGGUGAAGUCGUAACAAGGUA
rnacentral:rRNA from 1 species